UACUUGAGAACCAGGAGCACCAACCUCUUCCAUUUGAGUCCAACCCUAGGACCAGCUAUUGGAGAAAGAAAACCAACUCACCUGACUACACUUCUACCAUGGAAGAGACCUACAUCCCAUGACCAAUCAAUGUGCCAUUUCAGAGAACAUCUUUAACAGUAUGAACAUGUAUCUGACCUCUCACAAAGAUCUGCUGGGGGAAGAGAGAGAGAGAGGAAGAGGUUAAGAAUGUAUCUGGAAGUUUAAGCGAAAAGUUUACAGGAUUCCUCCAUGAAGUUUGAGUGAGAGUGACUAAGAACUCUCAUGUUCUCAGAUCCAGGAACGUUUGUAUUUGCACUAAUCCACAUCCUUUUUGUUAUAAAUAAUUGCAGAAGUUCAUUUAUAGAUGAGCUCCAUCACUAAGCAACACGCAUUGGACAUUUGUGUUUGUUGGCGUUUUAAAUUCACCGUGUUUUAUAAUGUCAAGUACAGUCAAUUUAUAAUUGAAGCAAAAUUUUUGAAGUACCCUGUGCUUGGGCAGGGUAGAAGAACACAGGGUACUAUUUAUCAUAGUUUAGUCUCCUUGACUUUAAAAUUUUUCUUUGUUAGGAAUGUAAUAUCCUCCUUUGUUGUAUCAUAUCACAUUUAAUUUUGACUGCAAAGACAC